rnacentral:RNase_P_RNA from 1 species
CAAGUCAGCCAGACAGUCGCUCCUUCCAGCAGGGGAGGGGAGGAAAGUCCGGGCUCCACAGGGCAAGGUGCCAGGUAACACCUGGGCGGCGUGAGCCGACGGAAAGUGCAACAGAAAGGACACCGCCUAAGCCAGCAUGCUGGCCGGUAAGGGUGAAAAGGUGCGGUAAGAGCGCACCGCGCGACUGGCAACAGCUCGUGGCGAUGGUAAACCCCACCCGGAGCAAGACCAAAUAGGGAUCCGUUGGCGUGGCCCGCGCUGAAUCCGGGUAGGUUGCUAGAGGUCCAUGGUGACAUGGGUCCCAGAGGAAUGACUGUCCACGACAGAACCCGGCUUACCGGCUGACUUGCUUU